rnacentral:rRNA from 1 species
GGGCGAANNCCUGACGGANCAACGCCGCGUGAGUGAUGAAGGUCUUCGGAUCGUAAAACUCUGUUAUUAGGGAAGAACAAAUGUGUAAGUAACUAUGCACGUCUUGACGGUACCUAAUCAGAAAGCCACGGCNUAACUACGUGCCAGCAGCCGCGGUAAUACGUAGRWRRCAAGCGUUAUCCGGAAUUAUUGGGCGUAAAGCGCGCGUAGGCGGUUUUUUAAGUCUGAUGUGAAAGCCCACGGCUCAACCGUGGAGGGUCAUUGGAAACUGGAAAACUUGAGUGCAGAAGANGAAAGUGGAAUUCCAUGUGUAGCGGUGAAAUGCGCAGAGAUAUGGAGGAACACC